GACAGAGGAUGCAAGCGUUAUCCGGAAUGAUUGGGCGUAAAGCGUCUGUAGGUGGCUUUUCAAGUCCGCCGUCAAAUCCCAGGGCUCAACCCUGGACAGGCGGUGGAAACUACCAAGCUGGAGUACGGUAGGGGCAGAGGGAAUUUCCGGUGGAGCGGUGAAAUGCGUAGAUAUCGGGGAAGAACACCCGUGGCGAAGGCGGUUCUCUGGGACGGUACUGACGGCUGAGACGCGAAAGCGUGGGGAGCGAACAGG
rnacentral:rRNA from 1 species